rnacentral:rRNA from 1 species
CACGUAGGGGACGAGCGUUGUCCGGAUUCAUUGGGCGUAAAGGGUGCGUAGGCGGUCGCGCAAGUCGGAUGUGAAAUCUUGGGGCUCAACCCCGAAACUGCAUUCGAUACUGCGUGGCUCGAGUACUGGAGAGGAGACUGGAAUUUACGGUGUAGCAGUGAAAUGCGUAGAUAUCGUAAGGAAGACCAGUGGCGAAGGCGAGUCUCUGGACAGUUACUGACGCUGAGGCACGAAGGCCAGGGGAGCAAACGGG